GUGCUCGCUCCAGCAGCACAUAUACUAAAAUUGGAACAACACAGAAAUUAGCAUGGCCCCUGCACAAAAACGACACACAAAUUCAUGAAACAUUCCAUAUUAAA
rnacentral:snRNA from 1 species